rnacentral:rRNA from 1 species
ACGCUCGACACCUACUGGAGGCAGCAGUCGGGAAUAUUGCGCAAUGGAGGAAACUCUGACGCAGUGACGCCGCGUAUAGGAAGAAGGUCUUCGGAUUGUAAACUAUUGUCGUUAGGGAAGAAAAAGGACAGUACCUAAGGAGGAAGCUCCGGCUAACUACGUGCCAGCAGCUGCGGUAAUCUGAGCGGGCUGGCAAGGC